rnacentral:lncRNA from 10 species
AAGGACUGUGCUCCCAAUCCGCUUACGCUCAAGGAAGAACUGCCUGGAAGCCCUCCCUGGUACCAUACCCCAGCCGAUGAGUAUGUACCCCCAGAAGUACUUCCGCUCAGAGAAGAAGGAGACGGCAAGCAGGGUGUACAGAUCCUCUGAUACUUCGGGAUAAACUGGUGAUUUUAAUUAUCCAUCCAUCAAUUCAUCUAUUCACCUUCCCAUCUAUAUAUCUACCCAUCUGCCCAUUCAAUCAUCUACCCACCUAUCCAUGUAUCCAUUUAUUUACCCACUCACCCACUAGACAUUCACUAUCAACUCACUCAUUUAUCCAUUUUUUAUCCAUGUGUCCAUCCAUCAUCUAUCAUCUUCCCAUCUAUCAAUCCAUCCACCCACACACCUAUCUCUCCAUUCUUCUACCAACCCACUCAGUCAUCUACCCAUCCAUUCAUCUCUGCACCCACCCAUCAAUCCACUUGUGCAUCCACCCACAUAUCUACCUACCUGCCCCUCUGCCUAUCAUCUGUCCAAUCUUCCUUACUUAACCCAUUUAUCCUGCUGCCUACUUAGCCAUCCACCAACCUGCCCAUCCACACUCCCACCCCACCCACUCAUUCAUCUAAUGCCAAUUUGU